rnacentral:sRNA from 1 species
UAACUCUCAGAGCAAUUCCGGCAGCCACAC